GGGAAAAACUAUGCUAUAGUGAUCUCCCCAACUGACUUGACACUGCUGCCUCUUACUAUGUCAUGAAAAGAAUUAAAUCCCUUGAUCAUAAAGAUGCCAUUCAAAGGACAGUUAUUGCAUCAAUCCAUCAGCCUAGUGCUGAAGUUUUUCAAUUCUUUGAUAAUCUCUGUUUGUUCUCUGCUGGCAAAACAGUUUACAUUGGACUUGCUUCUGCUGCAAUUCAGGUUAAUAUACAACUAAGAACCAACUAACUAACUAGUUCAUAUUUUCAAUGCCCAUCAUUUCUAUAAUACUAUCAUAAGAACAUCAUCUUGUAUGUAGUUUUUCGCUUCCAAUGGUUUUCCUUGUCCUGCUCUUCAAAACCCCUCAGAUCAUAUUCUAAAAAGUAUAAACAAGGACUUCGAUCAGUUGAAGAAACUCAAGUGCCUCUUCUCUUGGACCUUCAAGUUGAAGAUGCAAAAUAUGUGUUUGAGUCAAAGACUAUUCAGAGAAUGGAGCUUCUGAUUCUGUCCACCUUGAAUUGGAAGAUGCACCCUAUGACCCCACUCUCAGCGAUUGAAGAAUAGGUGGAUUUGACACAGCACAUGCUGUAGCUAGGUAAUUUUGUUAUCGGUUCUUUUUUUUUCUUUUUGGCUAAUGAAAAAUAUUUCAUGGAUUUGAAUUU